rfam:TPA: Bos taurus chromosome 17, whole genome shotgun sequence.
UCCCUGGUGGCUCAGAUGGUAAAGUAUCUGCCUACAAUGUAGGAGACCCGGGUUAGAUCCCUGGGUUGGGAA